CCUUACACGUUAUCAGUUUAUUAAGCGUUUAGACUAUGUAGACACACUCACUGUGCACUAAAAUUAAAAAAAUUGGUUAACACGACCACUCGUGGUGGCUUCACUCAGAGGUUGGAGAAGACAACCGGUGGACUAAACAUCAAGCCUCUGCACGAUUCAGGUAAGUGGAAUAAAAUACAUUGUAAAUAAACAUUAUUAAAACAGAUUGUGAAGUCAUUCAUUCAAAACUUGCUAUGACCUAAGCCUAAAUGACUUAAUUUCUUUUUAGAAUUAAGACAACCUUAGCAGGAGAGCCCCAGCAGUAACUUUCUCUCAAGCAGAUGAGCAAUAAGUUGCUUUGUAUGAACACCACCCUAACAAUCAAGUAACCUGUUAACAGUAGACCAAAGGUAUGAUGAUCAAUUAUAAAUGCAAUAUGGUUGAAAGGUCAGUAAACAAACAACAAAAAGGUAAUUUCUUAAUAGAAUGUCUAUACAUUUUUUGCUUUUGUUACAUAUUUCAUACAUCAAAAUCAUUAAACGUUAAUAAUUAUGUAUUCCAACUUGUUGCAGCUUGACAAAAAUGUAGCUUGAAGGAGAAGGGACAGCUGAGUAACAAAGUCCUGGUAUGCAGACGACGAUACUAUUACACUGACAAGAGUGUAAUGAUGAUGGAGACACAAGCCAGAGAAAGGGGGGACCAAACACCAGGCCAGAAUUCUGCAUGAGUCAGAUCCAGUGGGUGCAGAUCAUCAUACAGAUGGUUCAAGUGUGGAUCCACCUAAUAUUCAAGAUUUUCUGUCCUGGGACACUCGGCUAACCAUCAAGAAAGAACACACUCCAGUGGGCAUCCUUUAUCCAUCCAGACCCUCAUACAGAUGUUGGAGUUUUGAUUCACCUAAAGUACCAUGCAAGAGCACUCAUUUUCCCUCUUGAGACCAUGGUGUGACCUGCAAGGUCGAAUGGAGAGUAAGUUGCCUAAAAAAAAAAAAAAAAAAAAAUGUAUUUAAAAUUGUCAUUAGCUAAACAUCAACAUGUCUGAGGCAGAUGCAGGUCUGAUAAUCUGUCCAACAUUCAAAACCUCACACUGUAAGCGAGACAAUCUUGGAGUCACCUGCAUUGACUGGUCCAGUUGUUAGUCCAAUUACAGAUGGAGAUUAUAGAAGAGGAUGAUGUCUUUUCUCCAACAUCUUUCUAGACUGAUAAAAGAUCUAGACAGGCUUGAACAAAAGUUAACAGAGGGGCUUAUAUAGAGAAUGGUGAGGAGCUACACAUAAAAGAAGAACAUGGAGAAUCUGCCCAGAGGUGUUAACCAGCAAUGCAGCUAUACAACUAAAGUGAUGCAGGCGGAAACAAUGUGUAAUGCAGCUGCUGCAGAUGAAGAAUCCGUCCGUCUACCACUGAAGGAGACGCGGAAAAUCGGGAAAAGAUGUUCUUUGCCCGAGGAAGCAUUUGAUUAAUUUAAAGAUAUUGUGUUUCUUUGUAUGUUAUAGAAAAACGUUGCUUUUUUGCAUACACUCGUGUAAAUAUGCAUCUUAUGAAUGUUUUCCUUUGUCUAAUUUUAAUAAAUUUUACGCAAUCAA